rnacentral:rRNA from 1 species
UACGUAGGGUGCAAGCGUUAAUCGGAAUUACUGGGCGUAAAGCGUGCGCAGGCGGUUAUGUAAGACAGUUGUGAAAUCCCCGGGCUCAACCUGGGAACUGCAUCUGUGACUGCAUAGCUAGAGUACGGUAGAGGGGGAUGGAAUUCCGCGUGUAGCAGUGAAAUGCGUAGAUAUGCGGAGGAACACCGAUGGCGAAGGCAAUCCCCUGGACCUGUACUGACGCUCAGGCACGAAAGCAUGGGGAGCAAAAGGG